rnacentral:lncRNA from 1 species
AUGCACAGACUUAGUCAUGAAUGCUGGAUUUGGUCACCCAGACCUUCUCUGUGUCUUCAUCCUCAGCACUCAGGGAGCCUUCUUUCUGUCAUGGUGAGCCACCAAGAAGAAGAGGAGGAGGAUAAAGAAACAGGAGAACUUCCAGCUGUAUGUUGCUAUAGUACAGGAUGUGAUGACGUUAUCAGUCAGUCUGCUGUUGCUCAGUGGUCCAUAUACGAGCCUCAGGUCCACUCAGGGAUCCCCAGCAGCACAGGCCUGUGUCAGCAUGACGUGGGUGCUCCUUUGCAGCAAAUAACAGUGGUUGAAGCUGAGCAAGGAGAUGUAUUCCAGCAUUUCAUGGGUUGUCAGUGCUGGGGAGGUCCAGGGAUGGAAACCCAGAGAUGUGUUUAUAGACAGAGGGAACCAGAUGUUUUGGGUCACUGCUCAUCAGGAUCUCCAUUUAUCUACUGUGGAGGUGAGACUACACCUAGUUUCUAGGGUCUUUUCUUUAAUGAUAUCCUUUCCUUUACCUUAGCAAUUGUGGCAUUCAAUGUACUGAACUAAGAUGUUCCAUUGGGGUGUUUAAAGCUGAGAUUGCUGUUGUCAUUCAGCCAACACACACAUAUAUUUAUGCAGGCAUCCAAUUGAUACAUAUCAAAAAU